GACGAACGCUGGCGGCGUGCCUAAUACAUGCAAGUAGAACGCUGAAGGAGGAGCUUGCUCUUCUGGAUGAGUUGCGAACGGGUGAGUAACGCGUAGGUAACCUGCCUGGUAGCGGGGGAUAACUAUUGGAAACGAUAGCUAAUACCGCAUAACAGUAGAUGUUGCAUGACAUUUACUUAAAAGGUGCAAUUGCAUCACUACCAGAUGGACCUGCGUUGUAUUAGCUAGUUGGUGGGGUAACGGCUCACCAAGGCGACGAUACAUAGCCGACCUGAGAGGGGGAUCGGCCACACUGGGACUGAGACACGGCCCAGACUCCUACGGGAGGCAGCAGUAGGGAAUCUUCGGCAAUGGACGGAAGUCUGACCGAGCAACGCCGCGUGAGUGAAGAAGGUUUUCGGAUCGUAAAGCUCGGUUGUAAGAGAAGAACGAGUGUGAGAGUGGAAAGUUCACACUGUGACGGUAUCUUACCAGAAAGGGACGGCUAACUACGUG
rnacentral:rRNA from 1 species